AAGGGGAGUCGACACAUGCUCGUCGCCAACCCGAUGAUCAGCGCAGCGCUCAGCGCUGUGACCACCAGGCCCAUCGCGGCUUCACGAGAUUGGCCCGUCGCUAGGCGAUAACCCUGGAUAAAAAUCCAAAGCGUCAACACCGUCAGGGACACCAUACCCACCCAUGCCGUCGUGCGCUGCAACAACUCCCACUGAAAGAUCGCAAUCUCAUCGCGCA
rnacentral:sRNA from 1 species